UGUUUGAUGUUCUAACGUGGACCCGUGAUCCGGGUUGCGGACAGUGUCUGGUGGGUAGUUUGACUGGGGCGGUCUCCUCCUAAAGAGUAACGGAGGAGCACGAAGGUUGGCUAAUCCUGGUCGGACAUCAGGAGGUUAGUGCAAUGGCAUAAGCCAGCUUGACUGCGAGCGUGACGGCGCGAGCAGGUGCGAAAGCAGGUCAUAGUGAUCCGGUGGUUCUGAAUGGAAGGGCCAUCGCUCAACGGAUAAAAGGUACUCCGGGGAUAACAGGCUGAUACCGCCCAAGAGUUCAUAUCGACGGCGGUGUUUGGCACCUCGAUGUCGGCUCAUCACAUCCUGGGGCUGAAGUAGGUCCCAAGGGUAUGGCUGUUCGCCAUUUAAAGUGGUACGCGAGCUGGGUUUAGAACGUCGUGAGACAGUUCGGUCCCUAUCUGCCGUGGGCGCUGGAGAACUGAGGGGGGCUGCUCCUAGUACGAGAGGACCGGAGUGGACGCAUCACUGGUGUUCGGGUUGUCAUGCCAAUGGCACUGCCCGGUAGCUAAAUGCGGAAGAGAUAAGUGCUGAAAGCAUCUAAGCACGAAACUUGCCCCGAGAUGAGUUCUCCCUGAGAC
rnacentral:rRNA from 2 species